rnacentral:misc_RNA from 1 species
UCAAUUUUAUUACAUUUGCUGAUNAAUUUCGGUGGAUACAAAUAUUUAAAACUUUCAACAACGGAUCUCUUGGUUCUCGCAUCGAUGAAGAACGCAGCGAAUUGCGAUAAGUAUUGUGAAUUGCAGAAUUUCGUGAAUCAUCGAAUCUUUGAACGCACAUUGCACCCUGUGGUAUUCCACAGGGUAUGCCUGUUUGAGCGUCAUUUCUCUCUCAAAACUAUUAAUUUAGUUCUGGUGUUGAGUGAUACUCGGGUUAUAGGCUUGAGUUUGCUUGAAAAGUAUUGGCAAGGGAAGCAAUUCUUGUGAAAGCUGUUUAUUCAAUGUAUUAGGUUUAUCCAACUCGUUGAUUGAUGGUGGGAAUGAGAGUUUGCUAUUAGGC